GCCUGGAUGGCUCAGUUGGUUAAACACACCUCACAAUCUGAGGGUCCUGGGAUCAAUCUUGCUUUAGGCUCC
rnacentral:tRNA from 1 species